UACAGAGGUGGCAAGCGUUGUUCGGAAUUACUGGGCGUAAAGGGCGCGUAGGCGGUGUGUCAAGUCAGGCGUGAAAGCCCCGGGCUCAACCUGGGAACCGCGCUUGAGACUGGAGAACUAGAGUUCGGGAGAGGAUGGUGGAAUUCCCAGUGUAGAGGUGAAAUUCGUAGAUAUUGGGAAGAACACCGAUGGCGAAGGCAGCUAUCUGGACCGACACUGACGCUGAGGCGCGAAAGCGUGGGGAGCAAACAGG
rnacentral:rRNA from 1 species